rnacentral:rRNA from 1 species
GACGAACGCUGGCGGCGUGCUUAACACAUGCAAGUCGAACGGAAAGGCCCUGCUUUUGUGGGGUGCUCGAGUGGCGAACGGGUGAGUAACACGUGAGUAACCUGCCCUUGACUUUGGGAUAACUUCAGGAAACUGGGGCUAAUACCGGAUAGGAGCUCCUGAUGCAUGGUGGGGGUUGGAAAGUUUCGGCGGUUGGGGAUGGACUCGCGGCUUAUCAGCUUGUUGGUGGGGUAGUGGCUUACCAAGGUUUUGACGGGUAGCCGACCUGAGAGGGUGACCGGCCACAUUGGGACUGAGAUACGGCCCAGACUCCUACGGGAGGCAGCAGUGGAGAAUAUUGCACAGUGGGCGGAAGCCUGAUGCAGCAACGCCGCGUGCGGGAUGACGGCCUUCGGGUUGUAAACCGCUUUCGCCUGUGACGAAGCGUGAGUGACGGUAAUGAGUAAAGAAGCACCGGCUAACUACGUG